rnacentral:rRNA from 1 species
CUUGGUCAUUUAGAGGAAGUAAAAGUCGUAACAAGGUUUCCGUAGGUGAACCUGCGGAAGGAUCAUUACAGAGAUCAUGCCCUUCGGGGUAGACCUCCCACCCUUUGUUAUACCAACGAAUGUUGCUUUGGCGAGCCGCCCUAGGCCGUCGGCCUCGGCUGACGCGUGCUCGCCAGAGACCCCAAACUCUGUAUCAGUGUCGUCUGAGUACUAUAUAAUAGUUAAAACUUUCAACAACGGAUCUCUUGGUUCUGGCAUCGAUGAAGAACGCAGCGAAAUGCGAUAAGUAAUGUGAAUUGCAGAAUUCAGUGAAUCAUCGAAUCUUUGAACGCACAUUGCGCCCCUUGGUAUUCCGGGGGGCAUGCCUGUUCGAGCGUCAUUUCAACCCUCAAGCUCAGCUUGGUAUUAGGCUUCACCCUUAGGGGCGGGCUUUAAAAUCAGUGGCGGUGCCAUUCGGCUUCAAGCGUAGUAAUCUUCUCGCUUUGGAGACCGGGUGUGUGUUUGCCAACAACCCCAUAUUUUUUAAAGGUUGACCUCGGAUCAGGUAGGGAUACCCGCUGAACUUAAGCAUAUCAAUAAGCGGAGGA